AGCGAACGCUGGCGGCAGGCUUAACACAUGCAAGUCGAGCGGGCCUUUCGGGGUCAGCGGCGGACGGGUGAGUAACGCGUGGGAACGUGCCCUCUGGUUCGGAAUAACUCAGGGAAACUUGAGCUAAUACCGGAUACGCCCUUUUGGGGAAAGGCUUGCUGCCGGAGGAUCGGCACGCGUCUGAUUAGCUAGUUGGUGAGGUAACGGCUCACCAAGGCGACGAUCAGUAGCUGGUCUGAGAGGAUGAUCAGCCACACUGGGACUGAGACACGGCCCAGACUCCUACGGGAGGCAGCAGUGGGGAAUAUUGGACAAUGGGCGCAAGCCUGAUCCAGCCAUGCCGCGUGAGUGAUGAAGGCCUUAGGGUUGUAAAGCUCUUUUAUCCGGGACGAUAAUGACGGUACCGGAGGAAUAAGCCCCGGCUAACUUCGUG
rnacentral:rRNA from 1 species